UACGUAGGCAGCAAGCGUUGUUCGGAAUUACUGGGCGUAAAGCGUGCGCAGGCGGUGAUGUAAGACAGGUGUGAAAUCCCCGGGCUUAACCUGGGAACUGCAUUUGUGACUGCAUCGCUGGAGUGCGGCAGAGGGGGAUGGAAUUCCGCGUGUAGCAGUGAAAUGCGUAGAUAUGCGGAGGAACACCGAUGGCGAAGGCAAUCCCCUGGGCCUGCACUGACGCUCAUGCACGAAAGCGUGGGGAGCAAACAGG
rnacentral:rRNA from 1 species